GCUAUUUAGGUUAGAGUUUGAUCAUGGCUCAGGACGAACGCUGGCGGCGUGCUUAACACAUGCAAGUCGAGCGGUAAGGCCCUUUCGGGGGUACACGAGCGGCGAACGGGUGAGUAACACGUGGGCGACCUGCCCUCAGCUCUGGGAUAAGCCCGGGAAACUGGGUCUAAUACCGGAUAUGACCACAUGUCGCAUGGUGUGUGGUGGAAAGUUUUUUCGGCUGGGGAUGGGCCCGCGGCCUAUCAGCUUGUUGGUGGGGUGAUGGCCUACCAAGGCGACGACGGGUAGCCGGCCUGAGAGGGUGACCGGCCACACUGGGACUGAGACACGGCCCAGACUCCUACGGGAGGCAGCAGUGGGGAAUAUUGCGCAAUGGGCGAAAGCCUGACGCAGCGACGCCGCGUGGGGGAUGACGGCCUUCGGGUUGUAAACCUCUUUCAGCAGGGACGAAGCGAAAGUGACGGUACCUGCAGAAGAAGCACCGGCCAACUACGUGCCAGCAGCCGCGGUAAUGUCGGGCCC
rnacentral:rRNA from 1 species